UAGUUAAAGCCAAAAAGAGGCAUUCCACUGUUAAUGGUUGAAUUGAAACUUGUAUUUCUAACUA
rnacentral:tRNA from 1 species